rnacentral:rRNA from 1 species
UACGUAGGGUGCGAGCGUUAAUCGGAAUUACUGGGCGUAAAGGGUGUGUAGGCGGUUGUUUAAGUUUGGUGUGAAAUCUCCCGGCUCAACUGGGAGGGUGCGCCGAAUACUGAAUGACUCGAGUGUGGGAGAGGUGAGUGGAAUUCCUGGUGUAGCGGUGAAAUGCGUAGAUAUCAGGAGGAACACCGGUGGCGAAGGCGGAUCUCUGGGCCAUUACUGACGCUGAGGAGCGAAAGCGUGGGGAGCGAACAGG